rnacentral:tRNA from 1 species
AGGCGCGUAGCUCAGGGGGAGAGCGCUACCUUGACACGGUAGAGGUCACGAGUUCAAAUCUCGUCGUGCCUACCA